GGAGAUUGAAAGCAUCUAGGCCCAUAAUUUGAGUUUUGGUAAUAAAUGACAACCCCUUAAGGACUAAUGUUUUUCAAUGAGUAAUAUUGAGUGUAGGUUAGUCCCGUGGAUGAGUUGUGGCCAUGAUUCUUAGUAUAAUGACAUUCAAAUUUGAUUUGAUGAUGGAAGGCUCAAGGCAAAGGUAUAAAAUAGGGUUUUUCCUUUUUGCCGGUCAAACAGGUGCUUAGUGGAUGAACAAUAUGACCGGUUUUAAUAGGAUAGAUGGCCGUACUAUUAAGAGGGGUCAAUUC
rnacentral:lncRNA from 1 species